UACGUAGGUGGCAAGCGUUGUCCGGAUUUACUGGGCGUAAAGAGCGCGCAGGCGGUCAGGUAAGUCGAAUGUGAAAGCCCCCGGCUCAACUGGGGAGGGUCAUUCGAUACUGUUCGACUCGAAGGCAGGAGAGGGAAGCGGAAUUCCCGGUGUAGUGGUGAAAUGCGUAGAUAUCGGGAGGAACACCAGUGGCGAAGGCGGCUUCCUGGCCUGUUCUUGACGCUGAGGCGCGAAAGCUAGGGGAGCAAACGGG
rnacentral:rRNA from 1 species